rnacentral:rRNA from 1 species
UACGUAGGGUGCAGGCGUUAAUCGGAAUUACUGGGCGUAAAGCGUGCGCAGGCGGUUUGCUAAGACAGGUGUGAAAUCCCCGGGCUUAACCUGGGAACUGCGCUUGUAACUGGCAAGCUAGAGUGUGGCAGAGGAGGGUGGAAUUCCACGUGUAGCAGUGAAAUGCGUAGAGAUGUGGAGGAACACCGAUGGCGAAGGCAGCCCUCUGGGCUAACACUGACGCUCAUGCACGAGAGCGUGGGGAGCAAACAGG